UCGAACAAUAAAAAAAAAAGCCAUCUGAAUAUCUAGAAGCGGCGGUUGAAUCUGUUUACCCGAGUGUCUCAGCAAUGUCCACAUUCUGGCCAUUACCCCAGCCCCUACCCUCCACUGCUUUUUUGCAAAAGAAGCGAAGCCGCGCAUUAGAAACCCUCACCAUCUGGUCGCCGCACAAUGAUCAUCAGACAAACGCAAGAAACAAAACCCGCAUGACAAACAAACCGGGACAACGGUAUCGUCCGGCUUAACGCUGGCUCCGAGGCAGUGCAUUUCUUUGGCGACGCAACGCGCGCACCUCAUGUCCACACAUGUGCCCACGUCGAAAAAAAAAA
rnacentral:lncRNA from 1 species